UACGAAGGGGGCGAGCGUUGUUCGGAUUUACUGGGCGUAAAGGGCGCGUAGGCGGCGCAACAAGUCAGGCGUGAAAGCCCCGGGCUCAACCUGGGAGGUGCGCUUGGGACUGUUGUGCUUGAGUUCGGGAGAGGAGAGUGGAAUUCCCAGUGUAGAGGUGAAAUUCGUAGAUAUUGGGAAGAACACCGGUGGCGAAGGCGGCUCUCUGGACCGAGACUGACGCUGAGGCGCGAAAGCGUGGGGGAGCAAACAGGG
rnacentral:rRNA from 1 species